AUGGAUCCUUCCCUGCCAAAUGAAACAGGCCUGCUGCUACCUUGACUUGAGCUCAUCUUUGGAUUGCUGGCUUCUAGAAUGGAGGUGACAUAUAAAUAUCCAUCUAAACACUCCUUUAGCUGCCAUCUCAUCACUUUUGAUGGUGAUAAAUUCAAAUUCAGACUCCAUUAAACCUGAGUAGAGAAACCCAGCAGGUGGCUGUACUAAUGGAAAAUCCUGGCUUUGGAAUAAUGGGAAUUACAACCGACAGCUCUUCUACACCACAAAAAAGAUGAUGUAUCCUUAUUGACAGUGUCGCAUUUGAGUCCAGAAGGCUGAUCUGAUAGUUCAUUCCUGGCACAACGGAAGCUAAAAGCCCCCUGGGUGUUUUCUUGGCCACACCACUGUAAUUUUUGUCAUAUGAACUUUCUAUUACAAUUCAUUUUACAAAUCUCAUAUAAGCUGAAGAGAGCAAGAGGAAUAGGAGGGAGAGAAAAAGAAAGAGGGGACCUUUCUUUUGCCUACAGGCAUACUUUUAUUCCUUUUUCUUGGUUUAAAGGACAAAUAAAGGUUGACAUACAACAGUAUUUCCAGCCAAUUCAGUAUUUUUAAUGCUGACAUGCUUGGCCCAAGUUCUUUCAAAGAUCCUAGACAAGCUCAUCUAAGGGAGUUUCUGUUUAAAAGAUGCAUAGAUUUCCCUGGAGGU